GAGUGAUGAAGGUUUUCGGAUCGUAAAGCUCUGUUGUUAGGGAAGAACAAGUGCAAGAGUAACUGCUUGCACCUUGACGGUACCUAACCAGAAAGCCACGGCUAACUACGUGCCAGCAGCCGCGGUAAUACGUAGGUGGCAAGCGUUGUCCGGAAUUAUUGGGCGUAAAGGGCUCGCAGGCGGUUUCUUAAGUCUGAUGUGAAAGCCCCCGGCUCAACCGGGGAGGGUCAUUGGAAACUGGGAAACUUGAGUGCAGAAGAGGAGAGUGGAAUUCCACGUGUAGCGGUGAAAUGCGUAGAGAUGUGGAGGAACACCAGUGGCGAAGGCGACUCUCUGGUCUGUAACUGACGCUGAGGAGCGAAAGCGUGGGGAGCGAACAGGAUUAGAUACCCUGGUAGUCCACGCCGUAAACGAUGAGUGCUAAAGUGUUAGA
rnacentral:rRNA from 1 species